ensembl:lncRNA
CAGCUCAUGUGUGAGGGAAGAGACCCCCUCCAAUGAGAAGGGAGGCAGAGAGUGGGAAAAGUGGCAACUCGGGUACAAAGGAGCAAAGAACGGUGAUUCAUAAGGAGGGUGGGAGAGCCAGGCCUGCCUGCCUCCACGCCUGCCACAGUAUAGAUUCCACGCCUGGCACUUACUUGGCAGAUGAACCACGAGCGCACUGACUGCCAGCUUUAUAAAGGUGUCCCAGAGCCAGAGAACUGGUCCAAGAACUUAGCACUCUCCACUUGUUUAGUCCAGAGAGGAUGCGGCCCUGAGUGUCAUGCUGAUGGUGAAAAUGGAGAAGCUCAAGAAGACAAAGAAAGCAAAGAAAAGGCUGAAACCCUUGGAUGCUGG